rnacentral:rRNA from 1 species
CCUACGGGUGGCAGCAGUGAGGAAUAUUGGUCAAUGGGAGAGAUCCUGAACCAGCCAAGCCGCGUGAGGGAAGACGGCCCUAUGGGUUGUAAACCUCUUUUGUCGGAGAACAAAACCCGGGACGUGUCCCGGACUGCGUGUAUCCGCAGAAAAAGCAUCGGCUAACUCCGUGCCAGCAGCCGCGGUAAUACGGAGGAUGCGAGCGUUAUCGGGAUUUAUUGGGUUUAAAGGGUGCGUAGGCGGUCCGUUAAGUCAGCGGGAAAAUUGCGGGGCUCAACCCCGUCGAGCCGUUGAAACUGGCAGACUUGAGUUGGCGAGAAGUACGCGGAAUGCGCGGUGUAGCGGUGAAAUGCAUAGAUAUCGCGCAGAACUCCGAUUGCGAAGGCAGCGUACCGGCGCCAGACUGACGCUGAGGCACGAAAGCGUGGGGAUCGAACAGGAUUAGAUACCCCUGUAGUC